rnacentral:tRNA from 1 species
UCCCUGGUGGCUUAGCUGGUAAAGAAUCUGCCUGCAAUGCGGGAGACCUGGGUUCGAUCCCUGGGUUGGGAA